AAUAGGUUAAUUUACUGAACUCUGAAUUGUAGAGGAAUUGAAAUUUGAACUGGAAUGUUUAAGUUAGAACCACAACAUCUAAUGUUGUCAGGAGCAAAGAGGAACCUAAAUGUACAGAACUAAGUAACAGCAAAUAGACUUUCCGUGUACUGGUUCUUAGAGUGGCCAGACUAACGGUGGACAGAGAGAAUGCCGAGGUCAGGGACAGGAGAGAUA